CAAAUCAGGUUAUUCUGACGCCUAACAGCUAGCCCCCCUAACAACCCUAACAAAACCAUAUUAAUAACCCCUAAC
rnacentral:tRNA from 1 species